GAUGAAGAACGUAGCGAAAUGCGAUAAGUAGUGUGAAUUGCAGAAUUCAGUGAAUCAUCGAAUCUUUGAACGCACAUUGCGCCCUUUGGUAUUCCAAAGGGCAUGCCUGUUCGAGCGUCAUUUGUACCCUCAAGCUUUGCUUGUGUUGGGCGUCUUGUCUCUAGCUUUGCUGGAGACUCGCCUUAAAGUAAUUGGCAGCCGGCCUACUGGUUUCGGAGCGCAGCACAAGUCGCACUCUCUAUCAGCAAAGGUCUAGCAUCCAUUAAGCCUUUUUUUCAACUUUUGACCUCGGAUCAGGUAGGGAUACCCGCUGAACUUAAGCAUAUCAAUAAGCGGAGGA
rnacentral:misc_RNA from 1 species